UUUGACAAUUGCUCAAUAUUAUGAUCUUAGGAAAACCUAUUCCUGUAGUGACAAAAAGGUGAACAACUGAAAAGAUAUACAGCCUAUGUGCAUAUAGUGACUUAUCUGCAUGGGUAAGGGUCUUUGACAUAUUCAAUAUUGCAUACAUUAUUAUUUCACAGAUGAAAACCUGAAAACCAGGCAAUGGAAGAUGAUUCUGAAGCAAGCAGUAAUGUUUUGCUUAAACAUUUUCUAAGCUCAUGUAAAAAACACUGUAGCAUUAAAGGUAACAUAAUGACUUCUAGCAUAAAUCAUUAUGCUAUUGGUUAUAAAAAAAAUUUAUGAAUGUAACAUGAAAUUAAAUAGUAUUUUUUUUAUUAUUGUAAGUAUCCAGUAAAACAUAAUAUUGGUAUCUAAGUUCUGGAUGCAGAUUUAUUUUUUUUUUUAAGUUCUGAGACUGUUUUCUAAUGAUUACAUUUUUGUAAUUUUCAUUACAAUUAAUUGUGUCUUAAUCGCAUAUAAACAAAAUAAAGGUUUAUUUUAUUGUCCAAUAUCCACCCAAGUAUUUUAAGAGUAGAAAAAAUAAAAAUUACAAAUAAUAUUAAUUUUAAAUCUAUCAAAACAAUUUGAUAAAAAAGGCUAAAGGUACAUUAGGCACUAAUUAUACACAACAUUCCUAUGAAACAGGUUGUAGGGCCUUGCUAAAAUCUAGGCACAGGUGCAAUUCAUAUUAUAUCUAUUUUUGUAUUCACCAUCUGCCGGCAACAAUAGAUUUUACAUUUUUUAAGGGGUUAGCCACCCCGAGUGAUUUGACCUUUCAAGUACUAAGGCUCCCACCCCAAAAUGUAGUCGAUUGUGCGGGCCAUGGUGCGCCAAAAAAACUCAUCAAUGCACUAGACGCGUUCUCCCAGAUGUAGAGCUGUGUGAUAUUUCGCGAACGGUGAUUUUGUCGCUGAGACUGGAUUAGUACUUGAAAAUAUUAACUUUUACAUUCCUUCUUUUAUUUUUACACAUUUAAUGUAGGUACAAAUCAAUAUACCGACGUUAGUAAUCCAAUUUAUAAUAUCGACGAGUUUUUGGCUUUCACUAAAAAUAUUUUUUAUACGACUUAUACGACGAUCCUUAUACGACUUAUUAAGACAGUAACGAAAACAAUUUGAUUUAUUUUCCCUACUUUAAUAAGAUCGAAGACUAAGAAAAUCAUAAAUGUAAGAAGUUAAACAAAUUCAUAAAAUAAUGAUAUUGUAAAACAAUAAUUUUGAAACUAAUAAUGUGAAUGUCCAGGAAAACGAACACAAAUCAUUUAAAAUAAAUUAUAAUAAAUAAGUACUCUACAUUUCUUUGUUAAAUGUAUGUUAUAAAUUUUAGAUUUUGUAUUUAUAGAGAAAGUGAAUAAAUAGUUGCUAUGUUGAAGAGUGCAUUAAAAAUAUACCAUUUUUAUUAUUUGGUGCAUAUUUAGGCUUAGAUUAAUAUGCUUCCGUAAAAUUUCAAACGUCUGGACCCAUUUUUUGUAAUCUAUAUUGAUUUUUACUGAGUUCCAUUUUACAUAAAUUGUUAUGGAUAUUUUGUCAUGUUUUAUUUUUUUUUUCAAAAUGUAUAUCGGUGUCACAAAUCGCGGGUUUGCCCACCUCUACUAGAAGCGUUCUCUGAGAUGCAUCAGAAAUGAAAAAAAUACUGCGACAGUCUAGUUCUAUGCUGGGUGAUUCGAUUCUCGGGCCCUACAGCGCAUGCGGCUCCGAAUUGCAACCGGCUUUUUGGCAAGAAAAUUGACAAGUGCAAGGAAAACAAGUGAUUUGUGCCUAAGAGGGCUAUGAAAAAAAUUGAAAGAAAGUUUAACGAUACAUGGCAAUUUCCAAACUGUGUCUACCUGCCAAAGGCCAGCCUUGACCGUAGCUCAUCGCAGAGCGCGUUUAGAAUUUGUACAAAAUCAUGUCUAUUGGUUGGAGACUGAUUGGAAUAGAGUGACUGUUUACAGAUGAGAGAAGAUUCUGUUUUUACUUUUUUACAAUUGUGAUGUGUGAUAGGGGUAUUCGCGUGUACUGACGUCAGAACGAACGGUAGGCACAGUGUAAAGGCACGUAUCUAUUCUGUUGGUGCUCAGCGCACCUGAAACUACUCCACAUAGUGGAUACGUUGGCGCUCCCCCUCGGUGCAACAGUGCCCGCUCCAUCUCGGUGCUCCAAUCGGUGACGGUUUAUACGUAGAGGAGCGCAUGCCGUAUCGAUUGGAGCACUUGCAGGGAGCACGGAGCACCAACAUAGUGAAUACGUGUUUUUACAUGCGAAGAACGAGUUUAUUCGGUGGAGGGUCGAUUAUGGUCUGGGGUGGCGUUUCUUUAACGUGUUGUACAGACUUGGUGGUCUUGAAUAAUGAUAAGACCAUGUUGUGCCAUUAAAUAGCCCCUUGUAUUUGCGAAAAUUUUGUUCUAAUGCACGAUCCCACUUUGCAAGUAUAGUGCAAAAUUAUCUAGAGGAAGUUGAAAUCGACGUUAUGGGAUGGCCAGCGAAUAGUGCCGAUCUCAGUCCUAUAGAGAAUGUUUGGGACUUUGCAGAAUUCUCCUAAUCAACUAAACACUAGGAACUGGAACAAAGUUUUGUUUUUUUAAAGGAUCUGUAUGAGAAUAUUUAAAUACGUCUUAUUGAGCAAAAAAUGAACAAUUUCAAUUUUUAGAAUUAGCGAUUUUGUUGUUCAUUGUUUUAAGAUUGUGGUAAGUUUAUGACUAAGUAUUGAAGAUGGUUUGCGACAACAUAACCUAAUCAGUUUGUUUUACAAAGUAAAGUAUGUAAUAGGAAAUAAAA
rnacentral:lncRNA from 1 species